AGAUAAGGAUGACAUCAUUUCACGGACCUUGUCCGUGAAUCCGAAUGAAACCGGGCUCCUGACCUCAUCCUACGCACCUGCCAGUGGCCCACAACCGAUGGAGACUGCGAUCAUCUCCGAAGUUUUACGACGACACACGAGGGCGCAAUCGAUAUCGCGGAGGGGGAUCCGUCUCGCCACAGUUACGGUAUCUGUCGUACUCCGCCACGAAAAUUAAAGAUCCGUUUGUGUUACGUGCACAAAAAGAUGUUGCCCGUAACAAGAAUACGAGUUUCUUCGUAAAUAUUGUAGUUCCUUUUGCUUAAAAAGGCCGCGAUGAUCAAAAGGGGGAGAGAAGACGAGGACAAAAAAGAGAACGAAACACAGCAUCAUAGGGGAGAGAGUCAAAGAAUUUUACUGGCGGCUUGCGCGCGUGCGUGCGCGCACACAUACAGAGUUGAUGUUGGUUUGUUUUUCACCUCGCAUUGUGCGCAUCGUUCGUUACGUCUGGCAAUUAUCUGGCCGCAAGCUCGUACUGCUUUUAAUAUUUUUAAUCCGCGAAACUUGAAGCUGAACCGCGCAAAGUAACUUUACUGUUAAAUUUUAUUUAUUUAUUUUUUUCGAUAUAAGAGGAAAUUUUCCAUAAUAGAAUUUUUCUCAAAAUCUCGAUAUAUUUCAUUGAUAUGAAACAUAAACGAUCAAUAAAUAAAAUCAAUUUAUUUUUAUAUUUAUUUCCGAAAAAAUUUUCUCUUUCUUAAUAUUCAAUUAUUGAAAUGAUUUUGAUAUUUUGGACGGUUUUGGAAUAAUAGUCAAAAUGAUUCGAGAUGUUAUGUGACACCAUUGAAAGCAAUUUGUGGCAUUCGCAAGGACUACCGGCAACGAUCGUCCAAAGGACGGAAUUUCAAGACGCCUCCUGCCAGUAAAUCCGAUCGAUCAGUCUGCCCUGUUUAGCCUCCAACAACGCUGAAAUCUCCUCGACACUGUUCACUGAUGGAUUCAACUGAUCAUAGUUCGUGAUAACCAACAUUCUCGACUUGUCUUUUCAACCUAAAACAACUU